AUUGAACGCUGGCGGCAUGCUUUACACAUGCAAGUCGAACGGCAGCGGGGGCUUCGGCCUGCCGGCGAGUGGCGAACGGGUGAGUAAUGCAUCGGAACGUGCCCAUGUUGUGGGGGAUAACUACGCGAAAGCGUAGCUAAUACCGCAUAAGCCCUGAGGGGGAAAGCGGGGGAUUCUUCGGAACCUCGUGCGAUUGGAGCGGCCGAUGUCGGAUUAGCUAGUAGGUGAGGUAAAGGCUCACCUAGGCGACGAUCCGUAGCGGGUCUGAGAGGAUGAUCCGCCGCACUGGGACUGAGACACGGCCCAGACUCCUACGGGAGGCAGCAGUGGGGAAUUUUGGACAAUGGGCGCAAGCCUGAUCCAGCCAUGCCGCGUGAGUGAAGAAGGCCUCGGUUGUAAG
rnacentral:rRNA from 1 species